ACCUACUUCAAUCAAAGAAACUAAGAAUGUUCAUAGUAAUUUGAAAAGUAUCUCAUGCUUGAUGCUUAUACACUUGCAUACACAUCCCUCCUCCUAUUCCUCCUCUCGUCUCCCACAAUCUGAUUUGUGUGUGCAUUUAUUUUUGUAGGUUCGUGAAGAGGCCAAUCUGGUGUUGUGAAAGAAGGGGGCUGUCCAUGGAGAAGAUCCCGCGGCGAGCUCCUCAGGGUAGGUUAUCCCACAGAUCUCCUCAAUUGGGAUGUGAAGAAGCAGAACUUCUGUUUGUUCGGGAGCUGCUUUAUUAUAUCAAAUGCACCAGAUACUUAUGAUUUCUCUUAUGAUCUUGUGGCUGGGCUAGAGAAAAAACAGAGUUGCAUAUGAUUUCUAGGUACUAGUAGUCUAAAAUGUUGGCCUAUCUAGUGUACUGUAGGAACCUGUUGUAAUCCCUUCAUAUAUACUGCAUGCUCACUUUGGAUAGAAUUGAAGUGAGAUAUAAUUGGAGUGAGCAGAUCACUAUAGGACUAAGGAAAAAUCAAAAAGUAUGUGUAGGAAAAUAUCAUCGUUCUUGCUCACUUUGCAAAAAUGACGAGUACUAGAAAUUGCCCCCUUUCACUAAUAUUUGCUGUUUGCUGAUGGUUAUACGUCUUUUGCUUGAUCUAUUGUGAUUCAUGCACACAGGUUGGCUAGAAAUAGCCCUGGUUAUAGAUAUUUUUAUUAUUUUAUACAUUAAUGUAUGCUGUUAUUAUUUGUAUGUGUGAUGCUUUCGGCCUGUUUUACUGUUUCCUCCUCGAUUGAUCUAUUCAUGUAAUGUUCUGUUCUUGUAGGAAGGCAAGUUGUCGCACCUGGAGAACUUGCCCAUCAAAGGGAGCAAUGAAGACAUUGCUAGGACAGUACCAAAUGUGCUCCUACGUGUUGAACAAUGUUAUGUAGUAGUGAGAUAAGGCAAAUUAUGUAGACAUUGUUAGGACAGUACCAGAUGUGCU
rnacentral:lncRNA from 1 species